rnacentral:rRNA from 1 species
AAAUUGAAGAGUUUGAUCAUGGCUCAGAUUGAACGCUGGCGGCAGGCCUAACACAUGUAAGUCGAACGGUAACAGGAAGCAGCUUGCUGCUUUGCUGACGAGUGGCGGACGGGUGAGUAAUGUCUGGGAAACUGCCUGAUGGAGGGGGAUAACUACUGGAAACGGUGGCUAAUACCGCAUAACGUCGCAAGACCAAAGAGGGGGACCUUCGGGCCUCUUGCCAUCAGAUGUGCCCAGAUGGGAUUAGCU